rnacentral:tRNA from 1 species
UGGAGAAAUGGCAGAGCGGUCGAAUGCGGCGGUCUUGAAAACCGUUGAGGGUAACACCUCCGGGGGUUCGAAUCCCUCUUUCUCCGCAUA